rnacentral:rRNA from 1 species
CCUACGGGAGGCAGCAGUGGGGAAUAUUGCACAAUGGGGGAAACCCUGAUGCAGCGACGCCGCGUGAGGGAAGAAGGAAUUCGUGAUGUAAAGCUCUAUCAGCAGGGAAGAAAAUGACGGUACGUGAGUAAGAAGCCCCGGCUAACUACGUGCCAGCAGCCGCGGGAAUACGUAGGGGGCAAGCGUUAGCCGGAUUUACGGGGUGUAAAGGGAGCGUAGACGGCAGUGCAAGUCUGGAGUGAAGGGCGGGGGCUCAACCCCCGGACUGCUCUGGAAACUGUACGGCUGGAGUGCAGGAGAGGUAAGUGGAAUUCCUCGUGUAGCGGUGAAAUGCGUAGAUAUUAGGAGGAACACCAGUGGCGAAGGCGGCUUACUGGACUGUAACUGACGUUGAGGCUCGAAAGCGUGGGGAGCAAACAGGAUUAGAUACCCUAGUAGUC